ensembl:snRNA U6 U6 spliceosomal RNA
GUGCUUUCUUUGGAAGCAUGUUUACUAAAAUUGGAAUGAUACAGAGAUUGGUAUGGCCCCUGUGCAAGGAUGAUUUCAUGAAACACUCCAUAUUUUU